AUUGAACGCUGGCGGAAUGCUUUACACAUGCAAGUCGAACGGUUAGAGGGGGGCAACCCCUUGAGAGUGGCGAACCGGGUGAGUAAUAUAUCGGAACGUGCCCAGUCGUGGGGGAUAACGUAGCGAAAGUUACGCUAAUACCGCAUACGAUCUAAGGAUGAAAGCGGGGGACCGUAAGGCCUCGCGCGAUUGGAGCGGCCGAUAUCAGAUUAGGUAGUUGGUGGGGUAAAGGCUCACCAAGCCAACGGAUCUGUAGCUGGUCUGAGAGGACGACCAGGCCACACUGGAACUGAGACACGGUCCAGACUCCUACGGGAGGCAGCAGUGGGGAAUUUUGGACAAUGGACGCAAGUCUGAUCCAGCCAUUCCGCGUGCAGGAUGAAGGCCCUCGGGUUGUAAACUGCUUUUGUACGGAACGAAAAGGUCUCUCUUAAUACGGGGGGCUCAUGACGGUACCGUAAGAAUAAGCACCGGCUAACUACGUG
rnacentral:rRNA from 1 species